GAUUAUCCUACAUACGAUGCGUGAAUUUGUCCUUGGACAUUAAAAAUAUCAUCAAGGGCAAUGAAUAUGUCUUAACAUAUGGGAUCAAUUGUUGUAUCAAAUUCAAAAAACCACCAUUUGAAAAAUUUGACCCUGGCUAAGAUAAACAUCAGUGAACAAUAUAUUAUAAGGAAAACUCUGUACAAGAUACUAGAAAUGCUAAAAGAUGACCAAGAAGCUUUUACACAAGUCAGGCUAUUAGACAACAAUCCCUUGUAAUACAGAGAAAGACUUGGAACACUCUAUAAUGGAAUAGCUUAGAUUUGCAAACAUCCGUAAACAAAGGAAAAAAUCUUAAAAGCAACUGUUUGGUAAAGAUCCGGAAAGAUUAAUAAUCUGUUUAAAAGGAAA